GCACGCGCCGGCUCCAUUCGCCUUCCGAAAGGCACCCGUUUGUCCAAACCCCCUCCUAUAAAUCCCAUCCCCUCUUUCUCAAACCCUUCUUCCUUCCAAAGCCCUCCCCUUCCCGUUUUCCCGCUUCUUCUUCUCCUCCUCCGCCUCCUUUCUUUUGAAGCCAUCCCUCCUUCCUUCGAACCCUAUAAAUGAAACCCUAACCCCCCUCGCUUCCAUUGCCCCCAUCCUCCUAGUAAGGAGAGCUGAUGAGAGCUCUGUCGCCGCGGGAUCAUGGCGACCUCGAGAGACGUCCAAGAGAUCAUCUCCAAGAUCUCCUCCGACAAGGCCAAGGCCCGCGACGGAUCAAGCUGUUGAAUAGCUGGCUGGAGGGCGAGAGAUCGAUCAGUUUCUGUAGGUUACUCGGUGAGAAUACCGUCAGGAUCAAGCCCAACGAGAUCCCUCAUGGUGAGCUGAGGUUCUUGUGGUUUCUUGAUAACAAUCGGAUGUUUUCUUGGACGAGUCUUGGGAAAGAAGGGUGUCUGAUCUCGUUUGUAUUGUUCCUGCAGCUGAGAUUUUCUUGGUCGUAAUCCACUGUUUUCUUGAAUGUAUCAUGGGGAAGAAGGGUGCAUAAUCUUGCUUCUUUUUAUUGUUUUGCAGCUGAGACAUGGCCUUUUCUCAUUACAUUGCUGACGAAGUGCAUUGCAUUGGAGAUCUCCACGAGCAAGAAACGUCCACCGAAACUAGUUCUGGCAAAGACUCUUCGCACUGCCAUCCAAUGUGCUGAGGAUCAGAAGCUAUCAGG